rnacentral:rRNA from 1 species
CUACGGGAUGCAGCAGUGGGGAAUAUUGCACAAUGGAGGAAACUCUGAUGCAGCAACGCCGCGUGGAGGAUGACGCAUUUCGGUGUGUAAACUCCUUUUAUAUGGGAAGAUAAUGACGGUACCAUAUGAAUAAGCACCGGCUAACUCCGUGCCAGCAGCCGCGGUAAUACGGAGGGUGCAAGCGUUACUCGGAAUCACUGGGCGUAAAGCGCGCGCAGGCGGCUAGAUAAGUUGGAAGUGAAAUCCUAUGGCUCAACCAUAGAACUGCUUCCAAAACUGUUUAGCUAGAGUCUGGGAGGGGAAGAUGGAAUUAGUAGUGUAGGGGUAAAAUCCGUAGAGAUUACUAGGAAUACCAAAAGCGAAGGCGAUCUUCUGGAACAGUACUGACGCUGAGGCGCGAAAGCGUGGGGAGCAAACAGGAUUAGAUACCCCCGUAGUC